UACGGGGGGGGCAAGCGUUGCUCGGAAUCACUGGGCGUAAAGCGCACGUAGGCGGCUUGUUAAGUCAGGGGUGAAAUCCCGGGGCUCAACCUCGGAACUGCCUUUGAUACAGCAAGUCUUGAGUUCGAGAGAGGUGGGUGGAAUUCCUAGUGUAGAGGUGAAAUUCGUAGAUAUUAGGAAGAACACCAGUGGCGAAGGCGGCUCACUGGCUCGGUACUGACGCUGAGGCGCGAAAGCGUGGGGAGCAAACAGG
rnacentral:rRNA from 1 species